UACAGAGGGUGCAAGCGUUGUUCGGAAUUAUUGGGCGUAAAGCGCGUGUAGGCGGCGAAGCAUGUCGGGUGUGAAAGCCCUCGGCUUAACCGAGGAAGUGCGCCCGAAACUGCUUUGCUCGAGUGCUGGAGAGGGUAGCGGAAUUCCCGGUGUAGAGGUGAAAUUCGUAGAUAUCGGGAGGAACACCAGUGGCGAAGGCGGCUACCUGGACGGACACUGACGCUGAGACGCGAAAGCGUGGGGAG
rnacentral:rRNA from 1 species